rnacentral:misc_RNA from 1 species
GAUGAAGAACGUAGCGAAAUGCGAUAAGUAAUGUGAAUUGCAGAAUUCAGUGAAUCAUCGAAUCUUUGAACGCAUCUUGCGCUCCUUGGUAUUCUGAGGAGCAUGCCUGUUUGAGUGUCAUUAAAUUCUCAACUACACUGACUUUGAAUUGGUGUGGCUUGGAUUUGGGGGGAAAAUUGUUGUGGGCUUUUUGUAUAGUCUGCUCCCCUGAAAUUGAUUAGCGGUACCUUUGUGGAACUGUCUACAGGUGUGAUAAUUAUCUACAUCUUAGACAUCUGCUGGAAUGCUGCUCUCUAAACCUUACUUGUAUUGACAAUCUUGACCUCAAAUCAGGUAGGACUACCCGCUGAACUUAAGCAUAUCAAUAGCGGAGGA